rnacentral:lncRNA from 1 species
AUUCCCCUUGCGACUCAAUGCAUGACUCAAGCUUAUCUUUAGCAUAUAUUAGCUUUAGGAUUUUAGUUGCAGCAGUUUUACCAUAUUUCUUAAUGAGAUUUGAUGCAUAGUUUUCAUCAUCUUCAUCAUCACUAUCAUAUUUACUAGUGGUGUGAGUGGGAGAGUCAAAUUGUACCUUAUCUCCUCUUGCCAUGAGACAUGUAGGAGUGUCAUGGUCGUCGUUGGAGAGGUUGGCGAAGAGUCUAGGUGAUGAAGAAGUGUGGGUGAAGAGAGAGGUCGAUGACGCAUUGUUGGUGAAGAUGUUUGUUGAGGAAGAUGCCUCUUGUAUGGCGAGGGCAGCCAUACUCUUCUUCUUAUUAUCAUUGUCAUCAUCACUGUCACUGUCGGAUUGCCAUUCUUGGCCUAGAUGUGCUUCACCUCUCUUC